UUGAGAGGAGAAAAAGAAGAGGGGUCACGGCUAGAGUGAAAGAAGAGGAAAAAUUCCAAGCCUUCAAUUUUGAUUCUAGAACUACAAUUUUCUUGUAUUCCUACUAAGCUCAAGGUUCUCUACAAGUGGUGUAAUUAUCUUGGCAAGAAAGUGAUUUUGUGGCAAGUGAAGAACUUGAAGAAAGAGAUUCUGGGCGAAAUUGGAAGUGAAGCUAAGCGAGCAUAAGACGCUAUUGAGGUACAGACGCACCCGGAGAUACGCCGCCAGUUUAGGGCAUCGAUUCUGCUGUUUUUGGGAGAGCUCCUUUUGAUCCGGAGCGUGUACUUUUGGUAUAUACCUUCUGACAUCUGUAUAUUCUGUAUGUAUGGUAACUCUGGGUACGGCAGGGCCCUGUCCCGUCAUAUGAUUCUGUAUGUCUGUUAGAGGCCUUUAGAUAUGUAUGUGGGUUACGGGUUGCUACGGUUCGGGUAGGUACGUACGAUUUCGUGACUCUGUCUGUUAUGUUAGCCUCAUCGGCUUAUGCGAAAGUUUGAGUAUGCAUAUGUAUAUAUAUAUUUUCGCGCGCGCCGUAUCUGUAUUGGCUUGAUUCUGUAAACGCUUAUUUUGAAUUUUCUGUUUGGUUCGCCAACUCUGUUAGGUAGGUACGUAUGGGUACCCAGUUAGGGUACCAAUCGCGGCCCACGGGAUUGGGUCGUGACAGUUUGUUUGACCAAGCAAUUACACAGUUAGGUGGGAAUUGGGUGUAAUUGACAGGGUGUAAUUACACUCUCCAAUUCUCAAGGGGGGGCUGAGAAUUGGGUGUAAUUACACCCUGUAAUUACAUAGUUACUUUUUAGUUUGUUUAUUUUUUUACUUUAACUUAUCUUAUUUCUAUUAUUUUAAUUUUUUGAUUUUUAAUAUUUUUUUAUUUCUAUUAUUUUAAUUUCUUUUUUAUUUUUACUUUUUUUUAUUAUUUUUUUUAAAAUGUAUUUUUCUUUUUAUAUUAUUUAUUUUUCAUUUUCUUUCUUUUCAUUCCCAACUUUUACUUCUUGUGAUUUCAUGUAAUUGCUCAUAUUUUUUUAUUUUUUUAUUUUAUUCAUUUAGCAUAACCGUGUUAUUAUUCUAAUAUUUGAAACUACACCUCUUAAUAUUGGAAAGAAUGAGUUAUUAACAAACUUGACAUAUAACGGGUGACGUUAUUAAAGUAGAAUUUCAUUAUGAAUAGGGUUAUAGACUUAUAUUUUUCCUUUCUUUUGAAUUAUUUACUUAA